GUACCUACGGGGGGCAGCAGUAGGGAAUCUUCCACAAUGGGCGAAAGCCUGAUGGAGCAACGCCGCGUGGGUGAAGAAGGUCUUCGGAUCGUAAAACCCUGUUGUUAGAGAAGAAAGGGCGUGAGAGUAACUGUUCACGUUUCGACGGUAUCUAACCAGAAAGCCACGGCUAACUACGGGCCAGCAGCCGCGGUAAUACGAAGGUGGCAAGCGUUAUCCGGAUUUAUUGGGCGUAAAGAGAACGCAGGCGGGCUUGUAAGGCUGAUGGGAAAACCUUCGGCUUGACCGGGGUAGAGCAAUGGAAA
rnacentral:rRNA from 1 species